UGUCAGAUUAUUACUGUAGCAGCAAACAAAUAUUUGCUAAGUAAAGAUGUAUUGUAGUAAUGGCGUCCUGAACAGAGAAUAAAGUCACACUUCCUCUGUGUGUUGCAAUCCAAGCAUCUCUGUUCUUUG